rnacentral:lncRNA from 1 species
AGCUUUGGGGUAUACCUUAGCAACAUUUUUGUGAAACUCAAUAUCAAUGUCUUCAUAGAUACCAGUGUUCAUAUUACGAGUUUUAUUGGUAAUAAGACUCUAAAAAAUUAUGGAUAUGAGUUCGCGAUCAAUGGGUGAAGAAAGGUGUGGAUCAGUAUGUUCAAGAACAUUAAGGUGAAGGUCCACAACAAGAUGGCAAAAAUGAUCCUGAGCAACAACACGAGGCACCACCUCCUACGACUCAAGGCGGUCUUGCGGACGCUCUGGCUUUAGAUCCGCCAUUGUCUCCUCUCACUCUUACACUUUCCUUUGCCAUAAAUGGCGUCUCGGAUAGUGUCAAGACUUUUUCCAGGCACUUUAAUGCUAGGCUUAAUGACUUGUCAUGUCAAGUAGACAUUAAUUUUAUCGGUUUAGAGGAGCAAAUGGUGAUGCUCUUAUCUCGAUUUUGUUCUCCACCACCAUUGCCAUCAAACAUAUGAUGGUUAUUUUUUGUUUUAAUUAGG